GAUCAGGUUGAUAGGUCUGAGGUGGAAGUGUGGCGACACAUGGAGCUGACAGAUACUAAUCGAUCGAGGACUUAACCUAA
rnacentral:rRNA from 1 species